rnacentral:misc_RNA from 1 species
ACAACUCAAUAUUUGCACAGGGAGGUAACAAUUUCUUCUAAAAAUUGACACAGAUUGCAGCAGCUCAACUUCUUGGUUUACUACAUAAAAUAUGGGAUUUGUUAUUUUCUAUUCUUAAACUGGUUUGAGGUUGAAUUGCAAUGCAACUUGAAUUUGAUGAUAUUUGACUUUAUAGGGCCAAAUCUAGGGUUAUCAGAUGUCUCAUCUUUUCAAUUGGAUUUUUGAAAAUGAUUUCCCUGAAUGAAAGUAAAGAAAGGAGCAUGCUGGAUUAAAUUAGCUGUAAAAGAGACAGUGAAGAGUUGAAAUGAGAAAUGAAGGUUUUUUUCUCAAAUACAGUGGUGAUGGAUAAGGUUGGGUGUGAGUUCCUGGUGUGGGAAGCCAUUGGAUAAUGAGAGAUUAUGUGUUGCUUUAGAAUUAAUGAAGGCAGUGAAAGUGUUAGAAAAGCAAAAUAUGCAAGUAAAAUGGUAUUCCUGAGAAUUUCAGGGAGAAGGAAAAUUAUUUAAGAGUGGAGAAUAGCAACGAAGAA